UACGGAGGGGGUUAGCGUUGUUCGGAAUUACUGGGCGUAAAGCGCGCGUAGGCGGAUUAGAAAGUUGGGGGUGAAAUCCCGGGGCUCAACCCCGGAACUGCCUCCAAAACUACUAGUCUAGAGUUCGAGAGAGGUGAGUGGAACCCCGAGUGUAGAGGUGAAAUUCGUAGAUAUUCGGAGGAAUACCAGUGGCGAAGGUGGCUCACUGGCUCGAUACUGACGCUGAGGUGCGAAAGUGUGGGGAGCAAACAGC
rnacentral:rRNA from 1 species